GAUGAACGCUAGCGGCAGGCUUAACACAUGCAAGUCGAGGGGUAUAGUUCUUCGGAACUAGAGACCGGCGCACGGGUGCGUAACGCGUAUGCAAUCUACCUUUUGCAGAGGGAUAGCCCAGAGAAAUUUGGAUUACUACCUCAUAGUAUGUGAGAAUGGCAUCAUUUUCACAUUAAAGUCACAACGGCAAAAGAUGGGCAUGCGUCCCAUUAGCUUGUUGGUAAGGGACUGGCUUACCAAGGAAACGAUGGGUAGGGGUCCUGAGAGGGAGAUCCCCCACAAUGGUACUGGGAAACGGACCAGACUCCUACGGGAGGCAGCAGUGAGGAAUAUUGGACAAUGGGCGCAAGCCUGAUCCAGCCAUGCCGCGUGCAGGAUGACGGUCCUAUGGAUUGUAAACUGCUUUUGUACAGGAAGAAACACUGGUUCGUGAACCAGCUUGACGGUACUGUGAGAAUAAGGAUCGGCUAACUCCGUGCCAGCAGCCGCAGUAAAAC
rnacentral:rRNA from 1 species